rnacentral:misc_RNA from 1 species
GUGUUCUCUCGUGUGCAUUUAUGAGUCUUUGUCUCAUUUGAAUGGCUUCUGAUGACCUUCUGAUAGAAUACUGGUAUUACAGUGUAUGUAAGCAUAGUCAGGUGUUAUUGUCAGAGGACCCGCAUGUUGCAUUAACGGGUCUGGGACAUGGGCGCGUAUACAAGCCAGAUAGUGGUUCCAGAGUCCAAAGCAUGCAACAAAUUUACCGACCCAAAAAGCGCCAACUGGAUCAGUGUCCAUGCUCUAUUGAAUGUAAGUCUGUCCAUGCUGAAGCUAAUGAAUGUGAGUCUGCCCAUGCUGUGGCUACUGAAUUGAACCUCGCCGAAGUGGACCGGCUGUGGUUGAGGUUUAAGCAGCUGGGGUGCUCGGAUAAUGGAGAACUGACGGAGGAGAAGUUGUCUAAACACCCCGUGUACCAGGACGCCUUCUCUAGACGGAUAAUAAUGCAGUUCGUAAACCCAAAGACAAAAACAAUAACAUUUGAGAAUUUUCUCCGGGGACUGAAAUGGUGUGAAACUUCGAAACCGGAGGACAAACUUAAAGGUAUUUUCCGAAUGUUGAAUAGUGGUAAAGAUAUACCCAAGGACAUCUUUAGAGAGAUAAUUAAGAGAGUUUACGUCCAACCAGAGGACAGGGGGAAUAUUGAUAGCGUCGUCAAUACAUUAUACAAAAUGAUGGACCCCAAGAACAAAGGUACAAUCACAGAGGCAAGCUUUGUGAAGGCCUGUCGUGAACUCCCACCUUCUACGCUGGAAAGUGCCUUGAACUUUGAACUUCUGCCCUCAAAUAUGAGACAGGAACUUCACAGCAAACUCCCAGAGUUCGGCAACACCCCUGACCCCCGUAGUUCUGCAGAGAGGGCGGUCCCUGGGGAUGGGGCGCUAAAGAGAGUGGCAGACAAAGUCAAGUCUAGGGACUGGGACAGGCUCGCCAACAAACUCAACUUUGAUUCGGAGGAAAUCAAUAAGUUCAAAUCCCAGCACAGGGACCCUGAGGAUCAGGUGUAUGCCAUGCUGAGGAGCUGGAGGGCCCAGGAAGGGAGUCUCGCCCAGGCCUCAGUGCUGGCCCGGGCUCUCCGUGACUGUCGCAUGGAUGACGCCGUGGCUGUAUUACUGCCAUAACGUGUUCACAACCUCUGUCUUCAUUAAAAUCAACAUGUAUUCUAAAAACAAUGAAUAGGCUGGUGUGUGUGUUUUUAGGGGUGGUGGGUGUGGAUGUUUACGUUGCUUAAGUUUAUCAAAUACUAGUAAGUGACCUAAUUGUUCAACUGAAGUGACUGCCUUGAGUGGCAGACGUACCAUGAUAUCAAGAGCUUCAGUUCCUAGUCCUAUGGGGAUUCAGAAUAAUUGAAUCCUGUAUUUCUUUUUUUCCUGUAUCUUCUACUUCAAUCAAAUGAAAUAUAGAAUAUCAUUUUACAAGAUAUUGCCGACUUCAAAGAAAUAAAUGAUGUCAAAUAUCAAACGUUGGCUAUGUUAAUCCUUUAACCCAAUUGCUUGCAUUCCUACUGAUCCCUUGUUCUGCUUUGUGCCUUAAAUUCUGUUGCAUUUGUAAAUCCAUUAAUGUAAUUUCUCUAAAGAAAACAUUUGAAAGAUGAAAAAAAAACUACACGUACCAUGCAUAUGCUUCACCAAAUCAUCAUCAUACAAAUAUUUACCCUGGACGAGUGGUGCACAGUGGUACACACCAGAGCAGGUGUAGCUGAUAAUGUCAUGUCCCCUGAUGGUUGUUGUAUGAAAAUUAAAACAAUGUGGUCUAUCCUUUACAAUGGUUGGUAACUCUACCCAAUCAGAUUUUAGGGCUCUUAUACAUGAAAUAUACACACAAAAAAGACUUGUGAAAUGAAACAUUUUAUUUCUCAUUUUUUUUUGAAAACAAAGAAAAAUAAUAACACAUAAAUGAAAGAGAAACUAGGAAUUUGUUAGGCACAAGAAUACAUAUUGCAAGUUUCAUGGGUUGUUUUCUACUAACUUGAGCUACAUUGAACACCAGUUCAAAAAUAAUAAAAUAAAACCUUACAUGUUUAAAAUAAUGUUUUAAAAAUAUAUAUAUAUAUAUAUUGAUCAUCUAUACCAAACUUUCAGAACAUUUCAUACAGCAAUGCUUUUUUAUUUUAUGGAAAGAAAUUCAAAAAUUCAAAUACCUACAUGUAAAUUUGUUCAAUUCACAUAGAGUAAAAAAAUGUAAAAUAUUGGCAGAGAGUUGGUAAAAAUGGCAAAUAGAGGUAUUCAUAUAAUGAAAACAUCUCUUGGUAUGAAGGUAGCAGUCACCUAAUUACUGCGUCACAAUAAUUAGGUGAAUGCUACCUCCAAACUUACAGUGUAAAUUUAAUGGUGAUCAUUUUUUUUAAUCAAGUCUUACAUCUUUAGAGGGGCUGGUUCAUCAACAAACUACCAAAAAUUUGGCCAUAAAGUAUUCAGAAAAGAAAAAGCCAAAAUUUUAAUUAUAAAAUUUGAACAUUUUUGUUUACCUUUAUACAAAGCUCUUUUAUCUCCAGGAGGUUAAUAUAGUCUAAAAAUAGCCUCCAUCAUCGAACCCUCUUUAAUGUUAUAUUACACAAAAAAAAAAAUUGUCUUGGGGGUGAUUUUUGUUAAGUAUUUCAUGUACAAAGUUAUACAGUUGUUUUGUGAUGUAGUAUUCUUUUGAUGAAUUUUUUAGCAAAAUAUGUCCAAAUCUAAAGAGAUCAACUCUGCAAAUUUACAUGUUUACAAUAUGGGUUCAUUCCAGAUAAUUGGUUCACAUACGAAAUAAGAUAUGUCUAACCUGCAUUAAUUUCAAAUUAGAGAAAGAUGCCAUGUAAGAAUCGAUUCUAAAAUUCAAUUAGGAAAUCUUGGGAGCAUGUCAUCAUGAAAUUUUACAAAAUAAAAACUUGAAAGUUAAAAAAUGGCUGAUUAAAAAUUAAUUCUAAAUUUAAAAUGCAGUGAAUUUCACACAAUAUCGGUUUAAGUGCUAUAAUGAUUGUAAUUAAAAUAGAAAAACACGCAGCCACUUAAAUCUAAUUGAAAUAGACAAGUUUUAAAAUAUAGAAAGUGAGUUUUGCAGUUUAAAAUAUUCAUCAGACAAAAAAAUCAUAAUAUAAAAAACAAAGCUGUUUUUGACAUAUAUCUAUGUGUAUAUAUAAUGCAACAGCUAAAGGCUGCUUGAAAAAAUAAACCAUUGAGCAAGUAUAGUACUUGAUUUACCAUUAGGUAGAAAUAUGCUCUCAAAGGAAGUAUAGACUUAAUAUGGGAUCUCUUCUAAGAUAAUAGUGUUUACAUGUUACAAGAUGAAAAGAAAAUUGACAAAACAACAUCCGCCCAAUGCAUCAGAGAUUAAAAAAGAGGAAACAAAAUGGUGAUUUUUUCACCAUUCAAAGCUUUACAAAAAAAAAAAAUUCAAAUGUAGGCUGCAAUCAAACACAAAACACAAUGGAAAAACAUACAAAACUUCUACAAAAACAGCUACAACCUAUGGCUAAUGUAAAUACAUAUCAAGCUCUCCAGUACACAUAUCAACAACAUUCACUUCUGUAGGCAUGGCCAUGAUAUCACAGAGGGCAAUAUCUGUAGUCAUGAUAUCAAAGAGGGCAAUAUAUGUGGUCAUGAUAUCAAAGAGGGCAAUAUCUGGUCAUGAUUUCAAAGAGGGCAAUAUACAUGUGCAUUAUACAUGAAUCAAUAUUAGCCUUUAUUAAUGCUCUCUUAACAUGAGGUAAAAUAAUUGUUUCAAAUAUGGUUAAAAAGCUGGGCAUUCUUAAUAUAAUCUUUUUUAAACACCUGCAUGAAAAUUGGAUGCAGCGUCACUAAACAGAGAAAGUUUUGUAAUUAAUUGUUCACCAAAGCAAAAAUGUGUAAGAAAAGCUACAUAAUAGUGACAAAUCUACUGAUUAUCAUCAGACAUCAUGCUAAUCAGCAAUAUUUUGUCUGUGUUUUGAUUCCUCGACUUAAUAUUACAAUCAGAAGGACCGAACCAUUUCUGUGACAACCAACUUAUUUGUUCAACAAUUAAAGCACAAAGGUGUAAAAAAAAAGAAUUGCAACAAUAAAACGGGAUGCAAAGAGAAUAGUUCCAUUUUGUCAUCUUAUAGAUUGUCAUUGAUACCUUCAACUUUUAAAGCUUAUGUAAACUAAAUCAGUUUAAAAAGGAAAAAAUAACAAAAUCAUAAAGCAACCUUGAGCUCAAAGAUCUUCUUGUAUCAAACAAGAAAUGCACAAACCUAAAUGUGAGAAAAAGGAUUUAAAGCAAAGCACAUACAUUUUUAAUGUACCACAUGAUUGUGUAUCUUCUAACAUACAUUUAGUUUCUAGUUUAAUGCACAUAAAUAGUUCACACAUACAUUUGUAUUACUGAUGUACAAUUAAAUAUAUUAAAUCUAUUUUACCCACAUUGUAAGAGAUAAGAUUUUUAAAAUACUUAAUAUCAAAAUUUACAUUCUUGAAUAUAAAU